rnacentral:rRNA from 1 species
GACGAACGCUGGCGGCGUGCCUAAUACAUGCAAGUCGAGCGAAGCGGCGGAUGGGGGAGUAACGCGUGGGUAACGGGCCAUUAAGUCUAGGGUACCAUUUGGAAACAGAUGCUAAUACCGGAAACAAAAGGUUGGACCUGCGAUGCAUUAUCUAGUUGGUAAGGUAACGGCUUACAAAGGCGAUGAUGCCUAGCCGAGUUGAGAGACUGAUCGGCCACAUUGGAACUGAGACACGGCCCAAACUCCUACGGGAGGCAGCAGUAGGGAAUCUUCCACAAUGGACGAAAGUCUGAUGGAGCCACGCCGCGUGAGUGAAGAAGGUUUUCGGAUCGUAAAGCUCUGUUGUUGGUGAAGCGGUAAUCAACCAGAAAGUCACGGCUAACUACGUGCCAGCAGCCGCGGGAAUAC